GUGAAUCAUCGAAUUUUUGAACGCAUAUUGCACUCUCUGGUAUUCCGGAGAGUAUGCCUGUUUGAGGGUAAUUAAAAAGAAUAUUGAACCAAUUUUUAUUGGUCAAAGGAAAUGAGCUCUCCGCGUUUAUAUCGGUAGCUUGAAAUAAAUGGUCAAGUCUCAUUUUAGACGAUACGCGUAAUAAUAUUAUAUCGCGAAAUCUUCAUUAUGUGACUAUCAAGAUUUGAUGCAUACAUACUUGGUUUUAAUGCGAACAAUACAACUUUUUUGAACAUCA
rnacentral:misc_RNA from 1 species